GUAAACAAAGCAAAAAUCUACAAAUAUUGACGGAAAAAUGGAUUACAUUUGGUGGCUAUCGGUGACCUAGCCAAGCGCUCCCACCCAACCAUGGAUGCCCUCAAGAUGCUGCAGGGCACCACCCAUUCGCAGUCGGCAGGAGCCCCCUCCUCGCGAAUACGGCGGUUUCAUCUCCUCCACUGGGAAAGCUUACUCACACAUAGUGGGUAUUACAAAGGUUUAAUAAAUAUCCCUUUAAGACCGAAACCUGGCCGCCGUCUCGGAUAUUUACGCGGUAACUAUGCCGCGGAAACUAUGCUCUAACAGCCAUGUAUUGGUAGAGCUCGCAUGGAAACGCGGCCCUCAAAGGAACAUGCGCGAUGCGCGUGUGUAUUGUCACCUAAUCCUGAGGAGCUCCAGGGGAAAAGAAGGGACAGGCCAAAAAGGCAAACAACGAGGACAAAUAAGGCUCUCGGGUCUAACUCCGGAUAAACUCACAAACAGCCACUGUCGGGCCGGGCCUGAAGGCGGUGAUAGCCCGGGCUGAUGACUUUCC